GUAUGUCUGUCAGUGUGUGUGUGAGUAUGUGUGUCUGUCAGUGUGUGUGUGAGUAUGUGUGUCUGUCAGUGUGUGUGUGUGCAUGUGAGUAUGUCUGUCAGUGUGUGUGUGAGUAUGUGUGUCUGUCAGUGUGUGUGUGUGCAUGUGAGUAUGUCUGUCAGUGUGUGUGUGAGUAUGUGUGUCUGUCAGUGUGUGUGUGCAUGUGAGUAUGUGUGUGUGAGUGUGUGUGUCUGUGUGGUUCUGUCAG